AAAGACCACUCUUUCUCUUUUGUCCCACUUCUCCCUCUUUCAUUCUCUCCAUUCCUCUCUCUCUCUCUCGUCUCUCUCACCUCUGGGCCACUCCACCCUUUUUUUACUCACUUCACCUUUCUCUGUCUAUAAACUCUUAGGCCGAAUUAGUGGAAGGAGCUUUAUGUUCAUACAUGUGGAAUUUCAUCAUAGCAAUUCAAUAAAGGUUGUAAUGGUCCUUGAAUGGCUGCUAGGACCCGUGCAGUUCAUACCUCAGCACUAAAGCAGGAGACGGGUUGGUCUAAGGUCCCGUUGCGAGGCACUGGUAGAUAAAGCACACUCCAGACAAUGGCCUGUUCUGCUCAUGCAGAUGAUGGUGUGCAAUAUCAAAGCCAAAUGAGAUGGCUGCCAAUUAGGGAGGGCUUCCAAGUGCAUUUCAAUGCAAACUCGCACCGCUUUUGCAGCUGGGCUGCCCUGCCUCACUUGGAUGCAUCAACAAAGCUUGAAGUGGCCACUCUAAUCUGGAAACUCUGUUUGGGCCAUGCAUACAGGAACUGCUGACACGGAAAGAUUUAGCUAUUAUAGCAUAUCAUUACAUGAAUAAAAUAUGCAUAUGAUUACAUGAAAAAGUUUGUUCAAUGAUUCUUCAAUUUGGG
ensembl:lncRNA